CUGAUCCAAAAUGCCCUUGUUUGUUUUAAUAUUCUGGUUUAAUAUAUUAUGGCUUCCUGCCAUUAUGCUGUUUUCAGAUGGGCCCUUGAGUCACUCACUGUGGUUUUAUCCGUGUGUGGCAUCAUCCCAGCAGGCUGCUCCUGCAGCACAGCCCUCACUUCCCUUGACUGUGUGCACCAACCUGGCUGUUUCCAGCUGGGCACCGACCUUCCUGUGCUGCCCACGGUGUCCCCAUGUUGCCUGCUGUCGCCAUUGCCAAGUGCUUUGGAAAGGUGUUCCUGAGGCGGUAGUCCCACAGUGAAAUGGGAAUGACCCGCUGUGGGCUGCCUUAGUUUCACGGCUGUUACUUUAUUUUUUUGCUGUCAGUGUUCUUGCCCCCACCCAGUCCCUCUCCAGCCCUAGGUGUGGGCGUGAUGUCACUGUCACUGAAAGCAUCGUCUGAGCCUGCUAACCACAGAGCAUCAGGACAAGGGGAAAUAAGUUUAAGCUAAAAGAGGUGAGAUUUAGGUCAGAUGUGAGGAGGAAAUUCGUUACCCAGAGGGCAGUAAGGCCCUGGCACUGCUGCCUAGAGCUGUGGGAGCUGCACUGCUGGAGGUGCCCGAGGCCGUGGAUGGACCCUGGACAGCCUGAGCUGGGGAGGCAGCCAGCCCACAGCAGGAAUGGGGCUGGGGGGCUCUGGGGUCCCUCCCAACUCAACCAUUCCAUGGUUCUGUGAUCAUUAUGAACCCUUCCAACGCAGCCCGUUGUGUCACUCUAUGAUUCUUCGAUCUUAAAGGAUGCUUGCAACCCAACCCGAACCUUUCAGUGGUUCAGUUAUUUUAUUAUCUGUAUUUGUCAACUUUGUGUAGGAGGGAUCAAAGUACCUUCUGAGAAAGUCCAUGCUUAUCUUGGCAUAGGGGUGAUCCACCAUAGGUGAAUUAAUGCAGUUGUUUGACAUGAAUUACAAACAGUGUAGCGCUGACUUUUAAUGAUGGUGAUGCAAAUAGAAUGAAUCCAAUGUCAGCACUGUGUGGAGGGCAGACACCAGAGUGGGAAAAUGAUGAUACUGUGCUGACUGCACGUCAAAUAGGCAUCUUCCUAACAUCCAGAUGGAUUGUCAAAGGGGCUGGGAAUUAGCUGGAGUUUUAAAGUGCCCAGGACCAAGGGCAGCAAACCACUGCCCAGACUUCAGGCAGCAAGCAGCCAGCACCUAACUCUGGUGGCCACCCUUUGCAAGCACUUGACUGAAGUGGUGUGAAUUUGUCUAAUGGCAGACCCCAGCUCACAGCAGCAGGGGACGGCUAAGAAGGGAACGAGUAUGAAAAUGAUUUUUUUGUUGUUGUGAUUCCAUUAACUGCAAAAAUCAGUGCUAAAGUUGGAUGCAACAUAAUUAUUGAAACAGUGCUCAGAGCAAGGAACAGUGCAGCCAAAAGGGCAAGGAAGGAAGUGCCAUCCUUAUGCUGCACUGGUUCUGUUUUCUUUGUGUGUUUGCUUUUUAAGAAAUAGACAUAUGGAAGUGCUUUUUCUUGAUUUUUUUUUUUUUUUCAUUUUAGCCACUUAUUAUGAGUAUUAUGAGGGAGAAAGCUAUGUCCAUAGCUGGAGGAAAAAUAGAUGUUCUACUGCAAAAAAAAAAAAAAAAACAACAACAACAACAAAAAAAACAACCCCUUCUAAAGAGCUGUGGAGCUACCACUUAUAAAUACUAUGCUGUUUUCAUCUUCAGACAGUCUACAUAAUUAUGGGUGGUAUGUCUUAUGCGUUUUCCUUACAAAAGACCUUAACUACUCAUGCACCAGCUCCAGCUCUCUGUCCUGCAAGGACCCAAGUGCUGCAGGCAGUGUGGGUACAGCGUGCUAUGUGUGAUCACCAGGAGGAGUACAGCAACACAAGCUGCAUUCCCAGAUGGAUGUGCCAGCUUUUUCCCAUGUACCUUUGGCCUGUCCUUGCCCUGCCACUGGCUUCAAUACAGCACGAUCAGGAUGUGCUCAGGACAGGGUCCCUGCGUGGUCUGACCUGCACCUGCAGGAGGACCCCCAUUGCUCACCAUGAGAGUGCCUGGAAUAAACAGGGACGGCUCAGUGCACAAGAAAGCACAAGGGUUGUUUUCCUCUUUUAUUGAACUUUGGCAAAUAAUAUGGGUGUGUGGGUUUUACAUCAAUAGCUAUAAAUAAAAAUCUUAAAACAGUGUAGUACUUGUCAUUAGGAUAAAGGACAUCUAUUGGCACAAAUCAUUGAGUAAAAACCCUUUAAUGAUAAAAUAACAUUCACUCUUUAGCUACUUUAUUUGUCUGAAAAACUCAGCUUACACUCAGUUCAACAUAUCACCUUCCACAAAGUUAAAAAAGGACAUAAAAUGGCAUAACAAAAUAUACCUUGAAUUUCGUAAUACAAGUACCUUGGAAAAUUUUGGUAAGCUGGACUGCAUACUGCUGAGCACAGCAGCGCCCACUGCCAUUGUCUCACACAGCCCUCGUUACUCCGGACUGAACAAUGCACAAGAAUUAACAUGGAGCAGUGCAAACACUGUGCUCUGUGUGAGUCUAUAGGGUCUGGUAACAUGGGGUGGGUUUACAGAAACUAACACUGAUUCUGCUUAUUGCGGAAGAACAUAUAAAGCUUUUUAGAAGAUUAAGCACUAUUACAAUCAUUAACUGUCUUACGGAAAAAAAAAAAAAAAAGAAAGAAAAGAAAAAAAAAAAAGUCCUGUCUAAAAUUCUUGUAUCCAUUACUGUCUUUGGCAGAUAAAUAAGAAAAAAAAAAUAAACAGACUAUAAUACAAAGCUUUCAUUAUCACAGUCUACUUUAUAAGGCCAAAUAAAAAUAUGUUUCUUUGCACUAAUGAAAGCACAUCUCUAAUAUACCCUUAAUGACAGAUAAUAUAAACACCCUACAGACGUUAACUCCAGAUGUCUCAUUAGAAGACUGCGACUUUCGUACUUCCUAUUCCCUAAGUUGCACUCUUCUAUGCAAAGUAAAGUGUACUCAGGAGCUGGUUUGGCUUUAUGCUUAGUGCCAUUGGUGAUUUAGGGUCAUGUGAAAGUCUGGACCCGGAUGUAAUGGACGGUAAAUCUCUUAAAGCAGGAACUCUCAAGAGCAACACUCACCAAUGGCAGGAACGGUGGCUUAAGUGGGCACAGAGCACUGUGACCAAUGCUGACCAAGGGAGGUGGCAGUGGGAGCCCAAUGGGAGCAACAGUACCCACGGGAAGCCCACAGCUAGCCUUGGCAUGGCCAUAAAGCCAAAGGAACUGCUUUUUUUCUAGAGAAGAUGCACAGCUGGCUCCGCUGUCAGUGCAAUGUGUUUUCUAAUGACUGCCUUAUAAAUUGGCUGGGCAAAACUGCCGGAUGGUCAGAUUCUCCUCAAAUAACAAUUGAUUUAACUUGGGUUCAGUUUGAGUUGGUCGCAUUCCAAACACAAGUAGCUCAGAUCUAGAUAUUGGUAUUUAUCGGUACUUCAUUGUACGAGGCAAAACUGUGCACGUUUUUGCAGUUUAAAUGUAUACACGACUGCUCCACAACUGCUAACAGAUAACAGGCUCCCAUGCAUAAAUAAAUACCAUUAAACCAAAAGAUCUAUUUUCAAAUUUAAGAAAAGAAGUUGCCAUUAAGAACCACGAUGCAUCACAUUGCUAAGAAGUUUUUGUCUCAUGCAUAAAAAUGAUAGCACUGAUUGGCAGUUGCUAAUUAUAAAAUUACACGGUAACACAGAACAAUUUGCGGUUCAGACCAAGUAGCACAAAUGUAGAAAAUAAUUUUUUUUCUUUUUUUUUUUUCUUUUUUUUCAACAGAGCAAAUUAACACAGAUUGUUUCUUCAGCAAAAUAUGAAACUGUAAACUUUGGGCUCAUUCUGCAACUUUUCCUCAAUCCAUAAUUAACAAACACAAAAAAAAAAUUCAACGGGAAGAAAGACUGACAUACAUUUUUAAGCGCACCUUUUUUGUCUAUUACAAAAGCACAACCUAAAACGUAUAAAGCUUUUUUUUUUUUUUUGUGGGUUUUUUUUUUUUUUUUUUUUAGAUCACAGUUACCAAAAAGAAACAGUGAAUAAUUUAUUACAUACGCUAUAAUAACAUUACUCUAAACAACUAUUAUCUAUGAGGUAUAUCUGAGAAAAUUCGGUAAGGGAUUGCACGGUCUGCGUUGCCAACAUGCCCAGGUUUAUAUUAAAGCUUUGGAACCAUGAAGAAAUAGAAAAGAGGAGAGCAGAAGGGGAAGGAGAAAGAGAUGGGGAGGGG
ensembl:lncRNA